rnacentral:tRNA from 1 species
GCGGAAGUAGCUCAGGGGUAGAGCACAACCUUGCCAUGGUUGGGGUCGCGGGUUCGAAUCCCGUCUUCCGCU